rnacentral:rRNA from 1 species
AUGGUGCAAUUGUCACAUGGGUCUGAUGUAUUCCGAUGGAACCUCCAUGGGAAUGGACAAUUCUCAGUGGAGUCUAUGUAUAGAGCAUUAAUCCAGUCUGAUGUGCUAGUUGUUAAUAACAUGAAGAUCUGGAAGAUGAAGAUACCUAUUAAGAAUAAAAUCUUUGCAUGGUAUAUUCGUCGCGGAGUCAUUCUUACUAAGGAUAACCUUAUUAAGAGGAAUUGGCAUGGAAGUCCACAAUGUGUUUUUUGUCACCACGAGGAGACAAUAAAACAUUUAUUCUUCCAAUGCAAAUUGGCUCGUUCUAUGUGGUCAGUCAUCCAAAUAGCUUCUGGCUUGUAUCCUCCCUGUAGUGUUGCUAAUGUAUUUGGCAACUGGUUACAUGAGAUUGAUCACAGGUUUAGAACUCUUCUUAGGGUGGGAGCGCUUGCCGUUAUUUGGUCGCUUUGGCUAUGUAGAAAUGAUAAGGUUUUUAACGAUAAAAGUACUUCUCUGUUGCAGGUUAUCUAUAGAUGUACCAAAACUCUUCGUUUAUGGUUCUCUCUACAAUGCAUGGAGAAUCGAGACUUGUUUAUGGAGGUGUGUGUACACGAUUGGAGGCUACGGCGAGGGAUACUUUUACCCAACAUGGGUGGCAACAUGAUCUAA